rnacentral:rRNA from 1 species
GACGAACGCUGGCGGCGUGCUUAACACAUGCAAGUCGAACGGAAAGGCCCUGCUUUUGUGGGGUGCUCGAGUGGCGAACGGGUGAGUAACACGUGAGUAACCUGCCCUUGACUUUGGGAUAACUUCAGGAAACUGGGGCUAAUACCGGUUAGGAGCUCCUGCUGCAUGGUGGGGGUUGGAAAGUUUCGGCGGUUGGGGAUGGACUCGCGGCUUAUCAGCUUGUUGGUGGGGUAGUGGCUUACCAAGGCUUUGACGGGUAGCCGGCCUGAGAGGGUGACCGGCGACAUUGGGACUGAGAUUCGGCCCAGACUCCUACGGGAGGCAGCAGUGGGGAAUAUUGCACAAUGGGCGGAAGCCUGAUGCAGCAACGCCGCGUGCGGGAUGACGGCCUUCGGGUUGUAAACCGCUUUCGCCUGUGACGAAGCGUGAGUGACGGUAAUGGGUAAAGAAGCACCGGCUAACUACGUG